GUGAAAAUGGGCUGAAUGGAUUGAAAAAUGGUAAAACUCAACUUAUUUACUCUGGAGGAGUUGGAGAGUGAGCCUAUUUCCAAAAAAAGUGGGGUGUUCCUUUAAGCCAUUCUAUCUUCCAUUCCGCGUUUUGAUGCAGUGCUCACAUCUGUUUUUAUGGUCGUUUUUUUUUUUUUUUGGGUGAUUUUUAUUUUUUCCUCUCUCCGUCUUUUUUGUGAAGGCCAUUUCAAUCCAUGCUUAGCUGUGUAAAAUAUCCUCCACUUCCACCCUGCAGCUCUGAUCCAUAACUCUGCCUGAAGUAGUGCCGGCGGUCGGGAACAGGACGAUGAUGGCUGAGGCCUCACACAGUGUGAUGUAACUCGAGCCUCUAGGAUCCCUGCAGUCUGGGCCUGCCCUCAUCUCUCUGGGCGGAAACAGCCUGGCGCUGUAAAGCGUCUUCAGUGUAUUUAGUGACCUGGUGAGGAGUUAGAUAAACCCGAUAAACUCCAGUGCCAGUGCAUUAAUGAGACACGGUAUGCAGGGCCACGCUCGAGUGGGCGCCUCUUGCAGGAGACGAUGUGAGUUUUCUCACCGUGUGUUGUGGUUGUUCGUGGUGUUUCCACCGAAGCAUGGCAUGCUGUUCUGCCACCCAGGGUUUGAGCUACUGGUCCUACUUUCCGUAAAUCUGCAACCAGCCAUUUCUCCCUUUGUUUUAUCCCCUUCUUGUCUGUUUAUCUUGGUUCCUUUUCUUCCGAAAAAUUCAACACAGGUUAUCACUGCGCACGGCUGGAUUCUCUACUCUUGGAAGUACACCAACAGUCCUUUUUGGAUAGCCACGCUCACAAAUGCCACUUGAAAAUUCCUUUGAAACACCAUCUG